GUAGGCAAGUGAACCUCUAAAACCCUCUCUAAUCGCUCAGAAUGCUAACAAAACGUUUAGGUGAACCUGCGGAAGGAUCAUUACUGAGUUCUGGGUCAUUUUUUGGCCCGACCUCCAACCCUUUGUCUACAUUACCUCUUGUUGCUUCGGUGGGCCCGUCCCCUCUAGAAAUAGAGGACGACCGCCGGAGGGUUUACGCCCUCUGGUCCGCGCCCACCGAUGGCCCCAACCUAAAACUCUUGCUUAAACA
rnacentral:misc_RNA from 1 species